CUUCUGAGCAGUGACCUUAAAUGCUAAUUGAGUGGCUGGCCUUCUGAACAGUUCUCCAGGCCAAGAAUUCAACAUCAGAUGUCAUUAGAGCCCAGAAGUCUAAGGGGAAGAAAGGUUUAUCUCCAGCCUGUGGGAGCCCCAGCAACACUAUAUGAAACAACAAAGAGAAACCAGACCGAGAGGAAACACCUGUGCGGCAGCUGUCUGGUAAAGGACUUGUACCCAGGGGAUCUGAGGAAUGCUGGCUCACAAGAGGACAAACUCUCAGUAAAAAGUGGACAGAAGAUUGGAACAGAUUCUUCAUCAAAGACAACAUUUGUAUGGCAACACCCACUUUUUGCCAUGAUACUUCCAUUUACUGUAUGCCCAGAAAAAACAGAACAAAGGAUCACAGAUUGAAACAUCAAAAUUUGUGAUCUAAUA